GGGACUAUAGUUAAAAAUAACAUUUGAGUUGCAUUCAAAAAGUGCUACACAGUAGCUAGCCUCA
rnacentral:tRNA from 1 species